CACGUAGUUAGCCGUGGCUUAUUCAUUCGGUACCGUCACUUUCUUCGUCCCGAAUAAAAGAAGUUUACAACCCGAAAGCCUUCUUCCUUCACGCGGCGUUGCUGGGUCAGGCUUGCGCCUAUUGCCCAAUAUUCCCCACUGCUGCCUCCCGUAGGAGUCUGGGCCGUGUCUCAGUCCCAAUGUGGCCGGCCAACCUCUCAGUCCGGCUACUGAUCGUCGCCUUGGUGGGCCAUUACCCCGCCAACUAGCUAAUCAGACGCGAGCUCAUCUCAGAGCGAUAAAUCUUUGGCAUCCAAACCAUGCGACUCAGAUGCAUCAUGCGGUAUUAGCGGCUGUUUCCAGCCGUUAUUCCCCACUCCAAGGCAGAUUGCUCACGCGUUACUCACCCGUCCGCCACUUUCCUCAGCUUCCCUCAGACGAAUCCUUGUUCCACUGAUUCUCGUUCGACUUGCAUGUGUUAAGCACGCCGCCAGCGUUCAUCCUGAGCCA
rnacentral:rRNA from 1 species